UCAUAAUACAUGUAGAAUUCAUGUUUUAAAAUAUGAUGCACAAUAUGACAAGACCAGAGGGUCUGAGUCAUACGAUUACAAUUAGCCUGAUGGCUUCUUUGCAAGUAGUACUAAAGCUGAUGGCCUUAUUUGGCAAUAGAAGAAAAUAGAAGUGCAAAUUGUUAAAUGGCGGAAGAGAUAAUGUUCUCCGGUGAUUCUCGCUACGGCCAAGAAUCCAUCGAUUGAGUUAGCUUUGGCUGUACAGAGUCAUAGCACAUCUCCUCGUGAGGAAUUAGGAGGGAAGAUGGCGUCGCCAAUCGAAGGUCGUCUGCGCCUGGGCAGCAUCUCCACGCCAUGGGACGGAUGUUGGCCGCCGCCAACGCCGGCCGCCGCGCCGUCGCGCUGCAUCAGGAGAAGCGACGUCGGAGCCGCCGCCGUGCCAAGGUGUGGCGGAGAGAACUGCGCUCCUCAUGCGCGUUGGCCGUCUCUGUUGCCGGGCUGCGUGGCGGGCCGUGGUGCUCCUCCGGAGGGAGGAGCGUUGCUGCCGGGAUGUGGUCGUCGCCGCUGUAGACGGCCGUGCCGACGGAGGCCGCGGGUGCGGCCUCAACCAUCCGCAUCCAGGGGGAAAAGGGAGGAGGAGAGUGGACGAGCGGCCGCCGCUUAGACCUUCCUCCGUCCGGAAUCGAGUCCGCUGAUCCGCGGCCGAACUCAUUUAAGAGAGUGUGUUCGAGGCUUCCAAUUGUUGAAUCGAUGGAUGCUGGCGCUGGGUUCUUCCAUCGGUUCUUCUUUCCACAUAGCCAAAUCGCUCGUUUUGGAGAGCAGCAAUUGCUGAUAACGUGUAAAGAGGAAAAAGAGAAAGAGGGGAACGAAUGGAUUGAACAGUGAUUGCAUUGACUGAAGAAUAGGGUAUUUAUACCCAUGUACAAAGGCGGAACGAAGCAAGCACGGCGAGCCCAAAAGGCAAACUGACGCGGCGCAAAGUGGCGAGUACGUUGCGACCUUGCGUCGCUCUUUUGCGGGAUGAGCCGUUGGCGACCACGACGCCGGCGGGUGGGUCGAUGCUGCUACUUGGGCUGGUACGUAUCGCGAGCCUGAGCAGGCCGGGGCACGUACGGUCCCCGGCAAGGGCCGAAAAGGCGUGCGUUUUUCCGGCCGUCGCAGUGGAUAGAUAACUGCACCCAUGCAUGCAUGCAUGGCACACGGGCACGACUGCACGAGGAUCCACGUUGACCACACGGACGUUGUAGCUGUAGCCUGUAGGAGUACGUGCGAGCCAGCUCCUGCAUGCUGCACAAGUGCACAUCGAGGCAUGCAUCGACCAACACCAAAGGUGGACAACGACACCGGCGCGUGCAGCAGGGAGCCAAGCGUCUGUCGCCGUGCCCGUGAGCACGUACGUGGGUGCAUGCGCUAGAAUCUGUGUUUUGAGGUUUGUGUACAAUGUGCUUAGACUGUCUAUAUAAUCUUUUACUCUCUCCUUCUCAUAAUAUAACAACGUUUUUUA